rnacentral:rRNA from 1 species
UACGUAGGUCCCGAGCGUUGUCCGGAUUUAUUGGGCGUAAAGCGAGCGCAGGUGGUUUAUUAAGUCUGGUGUAAAAGGCAGUGGCUCAACCAUUGUAUGCAUUGGAAACCGGUAGACUUGAGUGCAGGAGAGGAGAGUGGAAUUCCAUGUGUAGCGGUGAAAUGCGUAGAUAUAUGGAGGAACACCGGUGGCGAAAGCGGCUCUCUGGCCUGUAACUGACGCUGAGGUUCGAAAGCGUGGGUAGCAAACAGG